UGAUUGCCUAGAUCCUUACUUUUCACUAU
rnacentral:piRNA from 1 species